GGGGAAAAUAGCUCAACAAUGAGAGAGCACCUAGGUUCUCAUCUAGGUUAUGGUGGUGCAAGCCCACCUAUCUCCACCA
rnacentral:tRNA from 1 species